rnacentral:rRNA from 1 species
AAGCGCUGGCAACCAGACUCGAGCGCGGUGUUCCCCCUGGCUUCUGCUAGGGUUACUUCACCGUGUCCGGGCCAUCAUCAGUUUUGGGGACCGGUCAAAGGCCCCGGGAAUGUAGCUUCUUUCGGGGAGUGUUAUAGCCCUCGGUGCAAUGCCGCCUACCUGGACCGAGGACCGCGCUUCGGCUAGGAUGCUGGCGUAAUGGUUGUAAGCGA